rnacentral:rRNA from 1 species
UAGGGAAUCUUCGGCAAUGGGGGCAACCCUGACCGACCAACGCCGCGUGAGUGAAGAAGUUUUUCGGAUCGUAAAGCUCUGUUUUAAGAAAAGAACGUGUGUGAGAGUGGAAAGUUCACACAGUGACGGUAACUUACCAGAAAGGGACGGCUAACUACGUCCCAGCAGCCCCGGUAAUACGUAGUUCCCGAGCGUUGUCCGGAUUUAUUGGGCGUAAAGCGAGCGCAGGCGGUUUAAUAAGUCUGAAGUUAAAGGCAGUGGCUUAACCAUUGUUCGCUUUGGAAACUGUUAAACUUGAGUGCAGAAGGGGAGAGUGGAAUUCCAUGUGUAGCGGUGAAAUGCGUAGAUAUAUGGAGGAACACCGGUGGCGAAAGCGGCUCUCUGGUCUGUAACUGACGCUGAGGCUCGAAAGCGUGGGGAGCAAACAGG